rfam:Beta vulgaris subsp. vulgaris Bvchr4_un.sca029.con0005.1, whole genome shotgun sequence.
GGCUACGAUCAUACUAGUUCUAAGACAUCAGAUCCCAUUAGAACUCCGCAAUUAAGCAUGCUGAGGAGAGAGUAGUACAAGGAUGGAUGACCUCUUUGGAAGUUCUCGUGUUGCAUCCC